AUUGGAGGGCAAGUCUGGUGCCAGCAGCCGCGGUAAUUCCAGCUCCAAUAGCGUAUAUUAAAGUUGUUGCGGUUAAAAAGCUCGUAGUUCGAGUUCAGUUUCGGACUGGCGUGGGAGGUCACCGCCCGGUGCUUGCCCGUCAGGCUCCGAACAGCUUCCGUGAGCGGAAGCCAAGCCGGUUCUGCCGGGGUGCUCUUUACCGAGUGUCCCGCGCGGCCGGCCAGUUCACCUUGAAUAAAUGAGAGUGCUCAAAGCAGGCUACUCUGGAAUACAAUGCCCGAAUGUUACCUGCAUGGAAUGAUGGAAGAUGAUCUCGGUUCCAUUUUGUUGGUGGUGGGAGCCAGAGGUAAUGAUAAAGAGGGACUGUCGGGGGCAUCCGUACUACGACGCGAGAGGUGAAAUUCAGUGACCGUCGUAGGACGAACAACAGCGAAAGCAUUUGCCAAGAAUGUCUUCGUUGAUCAAGAACGAAAGUUAGAGGAUCGAAGGCGAUCAGAUACCGCCCUAGUUCUAACCCUAAACGAUGCUGACUAGCAAUUCGCCGUCGUUAUUCCCAUGACGUGGCGAGACGCCCCCGGGAAACCUCAAGUUUUUGAGUUCCGGGGGUAGUAUGGUUGCAAAACUGAAACUUAAAGGAAUUGACGGAAGGGCACCACCAGGAGUGGAGCCUGCGGCUUAAUUUGACUCAACACGGGGAAGCUCACCAGGCCCGGACACC
rnacentral:rRNA from 1 species